rnacentral:rRNA from 1 species
GUACCUACGGGGGGCAGCAGUGGGGAAUAUUGCACAAUGGGGGAAACCCUGAUGCAGCGACGCCGCGUGAAGGAUGAAGUAUUUCGGUAUGUAAACUUCUAUCAGCAGGGAAGAAAAUGACGGUACCUGACUAAGAAGCCCCGGCUAACUACGUGCCAGCAGCCGAGGUAAUACGUAGGGGGCAAGCGUUAUCCGGAUUUACUGGGUGUAAAGGGAGCGUAGACGGCGUGGCAAGUCUGAUGUGAAAACCCGGGGCUCAACCCCGGGACUGCAUUGGAAACGGUCAGGCUAGAGUGUCGGAGAGG